UGUAUGUGUGUAUGACUGUGUUUCUAUGUAACUGCAUGUGUGUACCGGUGUGUGGGUAUAUAUGUGCAUACAUCUCAGCAUUUCGCCUACACUACACACAAAUAUAACCCUGCAUCCAAAUGUCAACACUACAUAAAAACACACCACCAUAUUCAAAAACCACACUACAGAAAAAUGCACUCCUGCAUCCAAAUGCCAAUACAUGCAAACAUACCC